GAUUAGCAAAUUUAUUAAAAUACAGCAGAAAAGUAUAGCUUUAAAAAUACUACAUGAGAAUGCGUAUACCUAUUAAUACAACUUAUUGGGGCACAUACUUUGUGCAAGCUUAAUUUUUGCUAAAAAUGAUCAUUUUUAUCACAAAAUUUCCCUAUCAAACCAGUCUUAGUUCAUCAUUCUUCCCAAAUUUUUCCUUUUAUAUCUGUAUGGAAAUUCAAUGCAAAGACAUGAAAAAAUUGAAAUCUCUCGGAAUAAAUACAAUUGAACUCUAAUUUUUACCAUGUAACAAUAGAAUGGCAAAAACAAGAAGGAUUGAUGUAAUCUAUACUUUCUCCAAAUUUUGUGUAUGGUGUAACCUUAACAGCAAUUAAAGAAACCCUUAAAAAAUAAAUAGACAUGUGCCGUCCCGGCAAGAGUUAUCUUUUGACUUCUCUUAUAUUGAGUUAUCUCUCUUUGGAUAUUGUUUAGUUAUGAACCGCCAUAUUUUUUGGUUACACGUUUUUCUGACCUCGUGUUCAAUAUCGCAAAUUGUGGCCCAUCACAGUCUUUUUACCAUCAACAUCAUUGUGUUAUCAUAAUAAAUUCAACUGAAACACUUUGAUCUGGUUAACUUACUGACGUUAGGGCAGUACAAGACAUGUAUGCAAGGUGAAGAUAACGAACAGUGAUCAAUCUCAUAACUCCUACAGCAAUACAAAAUAGAUAGUUGGGCAAACACGGACACACUGAAUACAUUGCAAAUAUCUUCAGACUGGUGACCUUCACCUUUUAAUUGUGGUCCGAAUCCAUGUGUUGAGUGUUGUAUACGCAUUCCGUCAUUAAACAACGGGGAAACCCCACAUAAAUUAAUUUAAUCGCACUGAAUUGAAAGGUAACUAAGUUCUGAUUGGUCAAUAAUAAAAUUAAUGUCUCUGAAUUGACACGUUAUCUGAUCCAUAAAUUCAUAUGUAGAAAAAAUAAUUCUCAGGAUUAUUACUUCAUGAUGGUGUUAGAGACUAGUGGUUAAGUACAUGAGCCAUGUUUGUUUUCAUAGUUCAAAUAUUCUUAUCAUUAUUUCAGAACCAAUAAGAAUGACAUAAAUUUAUAAAUGUUUAUUACAUUGACCAAUCAGAACUUACCUUUCGAUUCGGUGCGAUUAAACCGGAAGUAAGACAGUCUAGCGAAAUUCUUAGACACUUGGAGGUGUAAAAACAUCUUUUUCUUCGAAUGAACGGCAUUUGAACGAAACGAAACCCUACAGAUAUUGAAAGUAAUGCAUAUGUGAACGAUUCAUCGCAUCAGGCCGUUUGAGAAACGUCCACAAUAACCCAAACCCGAAUUUGCCUCAAAAAGAGUGUCCUACCCAUCCUUUUUUAUACAUGCACAUACUAUAUAUUUACAUAACUUCCAGUGCCCGUGAGUAGACUCGGUCGGUCGGACGUGCCUUAGUGUCACACCCUGAGUGUUCAUAAUUCCUCAAGCUUUAGCAAGAUUUUGUAAAAUGUAUUUAUUGUAUUUUGAAAAUGAAUGGGUUUGAUGUGUUUCUUAAAUCAUUGGGCCAAUCUAUAUCAAUCACAACUUACUAAUAUUUUAAUUCGGAUAUUACCUGUCCGGAAUGGUUUAGAAAUUAUAUCCCUGUGUAUGCAGUGUUUAUGAUUUUUUCAAGCUCAUUAGCAACAUUAGUAAGAUAUUGAAAAAUGUAUAUAUGGUAUUUUGGAACUUUUUAUUAUCAUAAAAUACAUACAGUUUUUUCAUAAAACAAAAAGUAAAAUAGACAAAAGAAUACUGAACUUUCAUAAUAAAGUCACAUAUAUAUAAUAUUUAUGCGCAGCUAAAACUACCAAAAUUGCACUGAUUUUUAAAUUUGUAAACAAUUUCACACUUGGUCCCCAAAACUGGUCCCUAAAAAUGACACUUUUUAAAAGCUGUGUUUACAACUUGCGCACUUUACAAAAUAAAUAUCAAAACCAUAAUGUUCAUUUCUUUUGAAACUCCUUUGCAUUCACUGAAAAUAAAAAUUCAAUCAAACCAAAAAUGCAUGCCUUCAUACUAGAAGUCUGACAAUCAGGAUUUUCAAUUCACAAUCUUAAAAAACAGCAA